UAGGGAAUCUUCGGCAAUGGGGGGAACCCUGACCGAGCAACGCCGCGUGAGUGAAGAAGGUUUUCGGAUCGUAAAGCUCUGUUGUUAAGGAAGAACGAGUGUGAGAAUGGAAAGUUCAUGCUGUGACGGUACUUAACCAGAAAGGGACGGCUAACUACGUGCCAGCAGCCGCGGUAAUACGUAGGUCCCGAGCGUUGUCCGGAUUUAUUGGGCGUAAAGCGAGCGCAGGCGGUUAGAAAAGUCUGAAGUGAAAGGCAGUGGCUCAACCAUUGUAGGCUUUGGAAACUGUUUAACUUGAGUGCAGAAGGGGAGAGUGGAAUUCCAUGUGUAGCGGUGAAAUGCGUAGAUAGAUGGAGGAACACCGGUGGCGAAAGCGGCUCUCUGGUCUGUAACUGACGCGGAGGCUCGAAAGCGUGGGGAGCGAACAGG
rnacentral:rRNA from 1 species